rnacentral:rRNA from 1 species
AGUUUGAUCCUGGCUCAGGAUGAACGCUAGCGGCAGGCUUAACACAUGCAAGUCGAGGGGUAUAGUUCCUCGGAAUUAGAGACCGGCGCACGGGUGCGUAACGCGUAUGCAAUCUACCUUUUACAGAGGGAUAGCCCAGAGAAAUUUGGAUUAAUACCUCAUAGUAUGCAGAGUUGGCAUCAACACUGCAUUAAAGUCACAACGGUAAAAGAUGAGCAUGCGUCCCAUUAGCUAGUUGGUAAGGUAACGGCUUACCAAGGCUACGAUGGGUAGGGGUCCUGAGAGGGAGAUCCCCCACACUGGUACUGAGACACGGACCAGACUCCUACGGGAGGCAGCAGUGAGGAAUAUUGGACAAUGGGCGCAAGCCUGAUCCAGCCAUGCCGCGUGCAGGAUGACGGUCCUAUGGAUUGUAAACUGCUUUUGCACAGGAAGAAACAACAUUACGUGUAAUGUCUUGACGGUACUGUGAGAAUAAGGAUCGGCUAACUCCGUGCCAGCAGCCGCGGUAAUACGGAGGAUCCAAGCGUUAUCCGGAAUCAUUGGGUUUAAAGGGUCCGUAGGCGGUUUGGUAAGUCAGUGGUGAAAGCCCAUCGCUCAACGGUGGAACGGCCAUUGAUACUGCCAGACUUGAAUUAUUAGGAAGUAACUAGAAUAUGUAGUGUAGCGGUGAAAUGCUUAGAGAUUACAUGGAAUACCAAUUGCGAAGGCAGGUUACUACUAAUGGAUUGACGCUGAUGGACG